UUUCCGUAGGUGAACCUGCGGAAGGAUCAUUAAAGAGUAAGGGUGCUCAGCGCCCGACCUCCAACCCUUUGUGAAUCGUACUCGUUGCUUCGGGGGCGACCCUGCCGUCCGCGGCUGAGCGCCCCCGGGGUCAAUCAAACACUGCAUUCUCUGCGUCGGAGUAUUAGUAAAUCUAAUCAAAACUUUCAACAACGGAUCUCUUGGUUCUGGCAUCGAUGAAGAACGCAGC
rnacentral:misc_RNA from 1 species